UGGCUCAGAUUGAACGCUGGCGGCAGGCCUAACACAUGCAAGUCGAGCGGUAACAGAAGAGUAGCUUGCUCACUCUGCUGACGAGCGGCGGCACGGGUGAGUAAUGCUUGGGAAUAUGCCUUAUGGUGGGGGACAACAGUUGGAAACGACUGCUAAUACCGCAUGAUGUCUACGGACCAAAGUGGGGGACCUUCGGGCCUCACGCCAUAAGAUUAGCCCAAGUGGGAUUAGCUAGUUGGUGAGGUAAUGGCUCACCAAGGCGACGAUCCCUAGCUGGUUUGAGAGGAUGAUCAGCCACACUGGGACUGAGACACGGCCCAGACUCCUACGGGAGGCAGCAGUGGGGAAUAUUGCACAAUGGGCGCAAGCCUGAUGCAGCCAUGCCGCGUGUGUGAAGAAGGCCUUCGGGUUGUAAAGCACUUUCAGUAAGGAGGAAAGGUUAAGUGUUAAUAGCACUUAGCUGUGACGUUACUUACAGAAGAAGCACCGGCUAACUCCGUGCCAGCAGCCGCGGUAAUACGGAGGGUGCGAGCGUUAAUCGGAAUUACUGGGCGUAAAGCGUACGCAGGCGGUUUGUUAAGCGAGAUG
rnacentral:rRNA from 2 species